GCUUCAUGAAAAAAUCGUGAGAAAAUCUUCAUCGAAAUGGUAUGAUUUGAUGAUACAAAGAAUUAGCUUGUAGCUCUGUUGCUUUUGCGUCCAAGAAAAGCAGCUGUGGCAGCUUUCUGGCAUAUUGCAGCUCUGGAGAUUGUGGCCUCUCACACGGCACGUCAUGAGUGAAAGGAAUCUAGUGGCAACUUUGCAAACUGGUGCUGCAUCCCUGACUGGAGCAGGAUCUGAUGCUUCCAAGGCUGGGAGGAAGACUUGGUUUUAAUGAGCUGGACAAAAAAGAAUCUCACUCACUGUGAGUCACAGUAUGAGGCUAAGAGUGGAAAAUUCUGUGGAUUUAGCUUGUGGAGAUGGAAUAAGCUUGGUAAGAUAUUAUAGGACCUCCUAAUCACUCCUUGCAUUUUAGCAGAAGACAUUGUGGACAGAAGGGAAGGACCAGCCUCUCAGGUCUCAGUGAGAGACUACAGUAGUAAAUACA